rnacentral:rRNA from 1 species
GACGAACGCUGGCGGCGUGCCUAACACAUGCAAGUCGAACGAGAUCCAGAGGAGCUUGCUCCUUGAAGAUCUAGUGGCGAACGGGUGAGUAACACGUGAAGAACCUGCCCCGGACUCUGGGAUAACUCGAGGAAACUCGAGCUAAUACCGGAUACCUUCUCGAGGUCGCAUGGCCAUGAGAAGAAAGUUUUUCGGUCUGGGAGGGCUUCGCGGCCUAUCAGCUAGUUGGUGAGGUAACGGCUCACCAAGGCUACGACGGGUAGCUGGUUUGAGAGAACGAUCAGCCACACUGGGACUGAGACACGGCCCAGACUCCUACGGGAGGCAGCAGUGGGGAAUCUUGCGCAAUGGGCGAAAGCCUGACGCAGCAACGCCGCGUGCGGGAUGAAGGCCUUCGGGUUGUAAACCGCUUUCAGCAGGGACGAAAAUGACGGUACCUGCAGAAGAAGCUCCGGCUAACUACGUGCCAGCCGCCGCCGUAAGAC